rnacentral:lncRNA from 1 species
GGGAGACAGAUGGGUUGCUCGGCCACCAAAGCUACCCUCAAAGUGCUGGGUCUGUGUGCUAUCAUACUGCUGGUGGUGGCCGCCAUUACGGUGUCGGUGGCCGUGAUGGUGUGGCACGCCGAAGCCGCCCGCCAGCUCAGAGGGUGCCAGGAGCAGGCGAACAACGAGACGGCGGCGCUCGAGGUCCGGGUGGCUGAGCUGGAACGGGAAAGGGAAGCGCAAGGNAAGCGCCUGGAGAAACUGGGCCGGAGGGAGAAGGACCUGCAGAAGCAGCUAGGCCAGGCCAAGGAGGGCCGGAAGAACCUCAACGCCACGCUGAUGGGAUGCUUAGAGAACACGACACAGUUGGAUGCCAACCUGACCGCCCUUCAGCAAGCCAUGUCUGUGCUCCAGGCCAAAGGAGUGGAGAUGGGCAGCCAAAAUGGUGCCCUUCUGGCGGAGAUGGCGCAGUGGCAACAGCAGGUGGUAGGGCUGGAAGAAAAGCUGAAGGUCGCCGUGGGCGAGCAAGCGGCGGCAGAAACGGAGAAGGCGCACUGCGAAGCCCGUCAGACAGCGCUCCAAGAAAGCAUCCACAGCUACCUGUCCGAGAUCGCCUCCCUGCAACGCCGCCUCCACACCCGUUCUUCUUCGUCCCGUCGCAGGUGCCCCCCGUUCCGGUACUUAUUGUGGGGUCUGGCGUGCUUUUGCNUUCUUUUCCCGCUCGAAGGGCUGAGCUUCCGGUUCUGAUCCGAAGCAGCUUUCCGACUGGUUUUUCGAUCCCUCGGGGGAGAUCUUCUGGUCCNACGCUCCCGUCCUCUCAAAGGCCAAGAAGAUACGCAGCUGGGUUCAACCACCACUUGGAGAACUUUUGGGCAGGAGGGUGGAAACGAACGGCCCAGAACCAAAAGAUCAAAUUUGNGCCCUUUGAAUUGGCUGAGUUGGAAUUCAAUGCUGGAUUAAAAUCGUGGUUUCCCACCCCACUGAAGUAGACAUCCUUCUUUGAAUGUUUCCUUUUAGUUGCCAGGCCUGUUCCGUGAAAGCCGGCCUUCGGGAUGUUGUUGGGUUCUUUUAUGUUCUGUGGGAAAUGCAAGGGAGAAGAUCUUGCAAAAUCACAGAAUUAGGCGUGAU